GACGAACGCUGGCGGCGUGCUUAACACAUGCAAGUCGAACGGAAAGGCCCUGCUGUUGUGGGGUGCUCGAGUGGCGAACGUGUGAGUAACACGUGAGUAACCUGCCCUUGACUUUGGGAUAACUUCAGGAAACUAGUGCUAAUACCGGAUAGGAGCUCCUGCUGCAUGGUGUGGGUUGGAAAUUUUCGGCGGUUGGGGAUGGACUCGCGGCUUAUCAGCUUGUUGGUGGGGUAGUGGCUUACCAAGGCUUUGACGGGUAGCCGGCCUGAGAGGGUGACCGGCCACAUUGGGACUGAGAUACGGCCCAGACUCCUACGGGAGGCAGCAGUGGGGAAUAUUGCACAAUGGGCGGAAGCCUGAUGCAGCGACGCCGCGUGCGGGAUGACGGCCUUCGGGUUGUAAACCGCUUUCGCCUGUGACGAAGCGUGAGUGACGGUAAUGGGUAAAGAAGCACCGGCUAACUACGUG
rnacentral:rRNA from 1 species